rnacentral:rRNA from 1 species
GACGAACGCUGGCGGCGUGCUUAACACAUGCAAGUCGAACGGAAAGGCCUUUUCGGAGGUACUCGAGUGGCGAACGGGUGAGUAACACGUGGGUGAUCUGCCCUGCACUCUGGGAUAAGCCUGGGAAACUGGGUCUAAUACCGGAUAGGACCGCACUUUAGUGUGUGUGGUGGAAAGUUUUUUCGGUGUAGGAUGAGCCCGCGGCCUAUCAGCUUGUUGGUGGGGUAAUGGCCUACCAAGGCGGCGACGGGUAGCCGGACUGAGAGGUUGGUCGGCCACAUUGGGACUGAGAUACGGCCCAGACUCCUACGGGAGGCAGCAGUGGGGAAUAUUGCACAAUGGGCGCAAGCCUGAUGCAGCGACGCCGCGUGGGGGAUGACGGCCUUCGGGUUGUAAACUCCUUUCGCCAGGGAUGAAGCGUUUUGUGACGGUACCUGGAGAAGAAGCACCGGCUAACUACGUG